UACGGAAGGCAGCAGUGGGGAAUAUUGCACAAUGGGCGCAAGCCUGAUGCAGCCAUGCCGCGUGUAUGAAAAAGGCCUUCGGGUUGUAAAGUACUUUCAGUCGUGAGGAAGGUGUUAAGGUUAAUAACCUUAGCAAUUGACGUUAGCGACAGAAGAAGCACCGGCUAACUCCGUGCCAGCAGCCGCGGUAAUACGGAGGGUGCGAGCGUUAAUCGGAAUUACUGGGCGUAAAGGGCACGCAGGCGGUUAGUUAAGUUGGAUGUGAAAUCCCCGGGCUUAACCUGGGAAUGGCAUUCAAGACUGGUUAGCUAGAGUCUUGUAGAGGGGGUAGAAUUCCAUGUGUAGCGGUGAAAUGCGUAGAGAUGUGGAGGAAUACCGGUGGCGAAGGCGGCCCCUGGACAAAGACUGACGCUCAUGUGCGAAAGCGUGGGGAGCAAACAGGGAUUAGAUAC
rnacentral:rRNA from 1 species